AUACGGAGGAUGCGAGCGUUAUCCGGAUUUAUUGGGUUUAAAGGGUGCGUAGGCGGACGAUUAAGUCAGUUGUGAAAGUUUGCGGCUCAACCGUAAAAUUGCAGUUGAUACUGGGUGUCUUGAGUACAGUAGAGGCAGGCGGAAUUCGUGGUGUAGCGGUGAAAUGCUUAGAUAUCACGAAGAACUCCGAUUGCGAAGGCAGCCUGCUGGACUGUAACUGACGCUGAUGCUCGAAAGUGUGGGUAUCAAACAGGAUUAGAUACCCUGGUAGUCCACACAGUAAACGAUGAAUACUCGCUGUUUGCGAUAUACAGUAAGCGGCCAAGCGAAAGCGUUAAGUAUUCCACCUGGGGAGUACGUCGGCAACGAUGAAACUCAAAUGAAUUGGCGGGG
rnacentral:rRNA from 1 species